GCUCUGCUCACUAAAAUAAAGAGCUGCAGUAUACUAGCUGUACUAAGGUAGCAUAAUAAAUUGUCUUUUAAUUUAAGCCUUGAAUGAAAGAGUCGACGUAAAGCAUUCUGUACCUUUAACCUUUAAAAAUUAAUUUUAGGUUAAAAUUCCUAAGUAGCUUUUAAAGACGAUAAGACCCUAUAAAAUUUUAUCCUGUAAUUAAAGUUUAGGUAUUUAGAUAUAAGGAUUUGACUGGGACGGUAGAAAUAAUUAGCCUGUUUCCGUUUAAACACAUUAAGUGGGCUCAAAGACCCCCCAAGACUUGAGAUCAAAUUACUUUAGGGAUAACAGCGUAAUCCCCCCUUAAGCUCCUAUUGACCGGGGGGUUUGCGACCUCGAUGUUGAAUUAAGAGAAUCCUACAGGUGCAAUAGCUUGAGGGGAAGAUCUGUUCGAUCUUUUUAUUCUU
rnacentral:rRNA from 1 species